CCCUGGUGGCUCAGAGGGUAAAGAGUCUGCCUGCAAUGCAGGAAACCCAGGUUUGUUCCCUGGAUCAGGAA
rfam:TPA: Bos taurus chromosome 8, whole genome shotgun sequence.